GCCCAGGACCUCAACUGCGCAAGACAGACACCAGCCCAGGACAUUAACUGUGCAGAGCAGCCGGGUCUUACCGUCGACUGCAUAGAGAAGCCUGCUCUGGCCAUUGACUGCGCAGAACAACAAAGGCUGGAAUUCCCAGGCUGUAGAAAGCUCCAGUUAGAACACUUCCGCCAGGAUGAGACCCAGAGCCAGAGGAACACGACUAAUCACUGUCCUUGGGUUCCCUAACAUCGGGAACACAUGUUACAUGAAUGCAACUCUCCAGUCUGUUCAGUCUCCGAAUCUUCACUCAGGACAUCAGGAGAGAGGAAGGCUGCUGGAGGUCACAUCUUACCACACAUUUACUCAAGUGUCUUGCAAAUCUGCAGUCAGCACAGGCCAGCUACAGCAGAGAGCACAAGGUCAGCCUGCUGAAGACCCUGAAAUAGACCAUCGCAUCGUACUGCAGCGACUUCUGUGGGAAUGAGCAGCAGGACGCUCACGAGUUCCUAAGCGUUCUCCUGUCCCAGCUUAAAGAGGAGGGGGUUUCCCUGAGGACAAGGGUGGGGCUGCACCCCUACACGGGUUCCAUAGAGGCAAAUUGUGAAUUUGGCCUCCUGUCCAUCAGAAAGUGCCUCAGCUGCGGGGAGAAGGUGUGUAGGACAGAGUCCUACAACUGCUUGUCUGUGAACUUGGUCCCUGGGGGCUCUGUGCAAGACAAUUUUUGCCCUUUACUUCAAGGGCUAUGAGGUAGAAUGUCGGUGCCAGUGGUGAUUUGGGGAGUUGGCCACUGUGGAGCAGAGGUUACAGUCACUGCCUCAAGUGCUGGUCGUGCAGCUGAAACGGUUCAGUUUUAACUCCAGAGGGAACCUGGUGAAGCUGCACGAUCACCUGCACAUCUCCCCACAGCUCAGCCUGCAGGCCCACAGCAGGGCCAACGUUCGCCUGCCAGGGCUGCCCAAGCCCCACCUCACCCAUGGGGAUUUUGCAACCUCCCCCUCACCAGAGGGAGCUGUUCUCUUUACAAAAUGAAUACAGUCAUCAGCAUGCUGUCCCACAUUGGAUCCAGCAUGCAACACGGUCAUUACAUCUGUGAGAGCUGUGAUUGCAACACAAACUGGCUCUCAUUCGACAACGAGAGAGUAAAGCAGCUGGACCAGAAGUCUGUGUUGAAGCGGAGGUCAAACUCCGCCUACAUGCUGUUUUAUGAAUACAGGUGAGAGCUCAUCCAUAACAAAAGCCCUGCUGUUCUGUGAUUGUGGUACAGGUAGAAUUACUGCUGAGCUAUAAGUACAGGUGGCAAUAGCAUCAGGUUCAGUUGUGUUGGGGGAGGUUUGCAGGCAGUGUGACUGGGCUGGUGUCUGUUGUAGGGGUGCUGGUGUAUAGAGAUGGAACCAAGGCCAUCCUUAAAUGAGACUGCCCAGUCCUCUCUGCCUCUACAAGAGUGGAACAGCCAUGUAUGUUUUUCAUUUGUUGCUGAUGUUGCUUGAAAUGUAUAAUGUAUAUUAUAAGCAUUGUGAAAAAAAUUAAGGGUCAUCAUACAAAAAUUUGCCAUUUUGCUUUUCCUGCUUCCACGACCUCUGCCAUAGGUUUUGUGGUUACAUUUGUCUGUGCUGCGGGUGUGUUUCGUUUUUCCGGUUUGUCAUCAGAAUGAUGUUUGUCUCUGGUUGCUCUGUUUGAAAAAGCUGCCGUUUGUAUGUGAUGUGGAUCAAAGACAUAUUAAAAUGUUUUUAUUUUCUGGUUAAGUUAUCCUUGAACAUACCUUGAGCCAAAUAAACUAUCUAUUCAUCUGUGGGGUCCAUGAUUUCUGUGUGUGCAUGUGUGUGUUCAUGUUUUUUUAUUUUUUAUUUUAUUAUUAAUUUACUUUGUUUUCAGCAUAUGAUCAAUGUAUUAUCUUGAAUUAACCCUUGUGUUUGGUUUGGGCAAAUGUACUGAUUUUACAUUUUUUAAAACCGAUUUUGACCCUUUUGAGAAAUGUUUUUCCUAACCACUGAAUAAAUUUGAUUCUUAUUUUAUGUUUCAAUUUGUUGUUCACCAUCUGUAUUUGUUGUCUGUCUUUUGCCUGUGUGGUUUCUUUGAAUAUAAAAACAUAAAGAUGAAAAAUAAUUGAGAAUCAGUUCAAAAUAAUAAAUAUCAAUAUUCAUCAACUGCAUGAAAGCUUCUUUCAUUUCUCGAUUACAGUGGACUUAUAUAAAUCACAUCUUUUUCACACAUUUAUACAUUUGCACCGAAUAUGCUGUAGGCAGUUUUCACACA